CCUCCCUCGCCCCCCUCCACGCCGUCACCCCCCCGCCCCUCUGACCCCGCGGCUGUCCCCGCAGACGAGGAGCCGGAGAAGGGCAGCGAGAGCGAGCCGGAGGCCAGUGAGGAGGAGGAGGAGGAGGAAGGGCGCUCCGGCAGCGAGAGCGAGCGGGAGGCCAGCGGGCGCAGCGCCAGCGAGGGCUCGCCGGAGGCCAGCGAGGAGGACGAACGGGCGGCCCGCGACAAGGAGGAGAUCUUUGGCAGCGACGACGAGGACUCGGAGGGCGAGGGGGGCGGGCAGCGGCGCAGCCCCGGGGAGGAGGAGAGCGGCAGCGAGGAGGGGGUCCGGCGGCGCCGGGCCGGCCGCAGCCCCUUCCUCAGCGGCAGCGAGGGCUCCAACGCCGAGGAGGAGGACGAGGACGAGCGCAGUGGGAGCGGCAGCGAGGCCGCCUCGGACUCCAGCGAGGAGGGGAGCGAAAGCGACUGAGUGGGCUCUGCUGGGGUGGGGGCAGCCCCUUGCCCCCCCGCCGCCUGGGCCGGAUCCACCCACCCCCUUGGGGGACCAUUGCUCCACCCUGCUGCCACCAGGAGGAUUUGGGCAUGAUGUGGGGGAUCCCUUGUGCAGGGAGUUGCUGGAAUCCUCCCCCAACUUGGGAGGAAGUGGCUCUGUCUGGCACCCCUGUGCUUGGUCAGGGACCUGCUGGGAGUGCCCCUCCCACCCCAGGGGAUCCCCUCUGGCGCCCCCCGCAGACACUGGGGUGUUUUUAUUUUUUCUGCUGUUUGUUUUGCCCCUUGUACAUACCAGCCUGUACCAGAACCCCCUUUCCGUCCUCAAUAAAAGGGUCUCUGCCUAAAACCGGGCGUCUCUCCUCACCCCUGUGCUCGGUGCCAGCCCUGCCAGGGAUCUCCACCCUCUUGGUGCCAGGGGCAGCCAGCUGGCAUCACUGCCUCGCUCUGGCUGCGAGCAGGGGGUCUGGCAUCCACCGUCCAGCCCUCUCCUAUGCAGGGCCUGUUUCUCUCUAGAGCGGGCGGUGGGUGCAGAGCCCCCACUCCCAGGGCCUGGGCCGGGAAGGUGCGUUGGAGGAGUGGGGGGACAGGUAUCUGGGGGAGAAAGGGCUUGUUUAUCCCCCUGUUCCCUGAACUCUGCGCUUUCCCCGCCAGGGGCUGGGCUCGAAGCUGCUAUUGAAGUGUGGGGGAGGCAGGCUGGGUUCCCCACUCUCUGCGUUCACAGGGCGCCAGGGCCGGGAUUCACCAGCCCUUUCGCUGUUGGCAGUGUGAGCGGGAGAUCAGACCCUGCUU
rnacentral:lncRNA from 1 species